AGCUACGGCCAUGGCGCGUUGGUACACCCAAUCCCUCGAUCUCGUAAGUUAAGCAAUGUGUAGUCCAGACGGUACUUGGAUGGGAGACCACUAUGGAAGGCUGGAUGUUGUAGCCG
rnacentral:rRNA from 1 species